rnacentral:lncRNA from 1 species
UUUAUAACAAAACUCUCUGACAAAAGUUAAUUUCCCAACUAUAUAGGGAACUAAGUCAAAUUAACAAAAAAUCAAGCCAUUCCCCAAUCGACAAAUGGUCAAAGGACAUGAAUAGGCAGUUUUCACAUGAUGAAAUCAAAGCAUAUAAAAAAAUGUUCUAAAUCCCUCCUGAUUAGAGAAAUGCAAAUUAAAAUAAUACUCAGGUAACACCUCACAUCUAGCAAGCAGAUUGGACAAUAUUACAGCAAAAGAAAGUGAUGCAUGUUGGAGGGGAUGUGGCAAAAUUGGGACACUAAUACAUUGCUGGUGGAGUUGUGAAUUGAUCCAAUCAUUCUGGAGGACAAUUUGGAAUUAUGCCCAAAGGGCUUUAAAAGAAUGCCUGCCCUUUUAUCCAACAAUACCACUGCUGGGUUUGUACCCCAAAGAAAUAAUAAGAAAAAAGCCCUACACAAAAAUAUUUCUAGCCAUGCUCUUUGUGCUGGCAAGAAAUUGGAAAAUGGAGGGGGGUAUCCAUCAAUUGGGGAAUGGCUGGACAAAUUGUGGUAUCUGAUAGUGAAUGGAAUACUAUUGUGCUGAAAGGAAUAAAGAACUGGAGGAAUUCCAUUUGAACUGGAAAGACCUCUGAGAAUUGAUGCAGAGGAAAAGGAGCAGAAGCAGGAGAAUAUUGUACAUGGAGACUGAUAACACUGUGGCACAAUUGAAUGUAAUGGACUUCUCUACUAGCAACAAUGACCCAGGACAAUCCAGAGAAACUUAUGAGAAAUAAUGCUAUCCACAUCCAGAGAAAAAAGUAUGGGAGCAGAAACACAGAAGAAAAACAUGGAAAUAAAAGUUUUCCUUCAUCCAGUCCAUAUUUCAUCUCCUCACCAAAAUUUCUUCUUUCCACCAAUAUCAAAAUUUAAGGCUUUGCAGUUGUAUUUGGCAGCUUCUCAAUCCACAUGCAUUAAGAGACUUGGGGGCUUCACAUGUUCUUCUAUCAAAAGAGGCAAGCCCAUUCUUACACACUGCAGUUCCUGAUUCCCCUGUGUCUUUUGAGUGUCUUUCACUAAGGAAAUGGAUGACGCAGUCAGAGAGAAGAUACUGAUGUUUAUAGUCAUG